rnacentral:misc_RNA from 1 species
GAUGAAGAACGUAGCGAAAUGCGAUACUUGGUGUGAAUUGCAGAAUCCCGUGAACCAUCGAGUCUUUGAACGCAAGUUGCGCCCGAAGCCAUUAGGCCGAGGGCACGCCUGCCUGGGUGUCACACACCGUUACCCUCGCGCCAACGUCCAUCGUUGGCCGCGGCGCGGGGCGUGCGCUGACCUCCCGCGAGCGGGGUCUCGUGGUUGGUUGAAAAUCGAGUUCGCGGUCGAGGGUGCCGUGAUGAAAUGGUGGAUGGGCGACGCCCGAGGCCAAUCACGCGCGACUCUGUCCGGCUCGCACUCCUGGACCCCUUCGGCGUCUCCGGACGCUCUUUGGCGAGACCUCAGGUCAGGCGGGGCUACCCGCUGAGUUUAAGCAUAUCAAUAAGCGGAGGA